rnacentral:antisense_RNA from 1 species
CGAUCCAACCAACCCUCAAAGAUUCGCACCGCGCGGCACGCACCCAGCAGGUUCCAGCGUAAACGCUGCUCUGGUCCCAAGCGCGUCUCCAAACCCCUCCUUUACAGCGCCGCCUCCCCAGCCAGCCCCGGUGCGCAGUGGCGAACAGCCCGCAGAGCCCCCAGGCUUACCUGUAGCAUGUGGUGAGCUCGCCUGAAGACUUCAGACACGGGUCCACGUGUGUCCCAACGCCAGGAGCAGCAGCAGCGGACCCAGGCUCCUGCCCAGCUGGCCCCUGGCAGCUCCUCCCCGGCUCGGAGGCGGCGGCACCAUCAGGGAAGCUCCCGGCUUCUUCCCAGCGCCGAGCUCCGUCCGGACCAAGCGUCCUGCUCCUCCGCGGCCGCCGCCGCCUUCCCUCUUCCCGGCAGGGGGCGCCGGAGAGCAGGGGCGUUUGCACCACCUGCACGGGGAGCAGGGGUCCGGAAUAUUAUGGGGCUGGGGGGAAAAUGAGGCUAGGAGUUGGGGUAUCGGAUGCAAACCCAGCAGAGAAGCAGGUAAAGGGGGUACCUGCGGUGUCCGGCUGGCGCGAGGGCCCUGAGGUUCAAGUUGUCUCGUCGGGACGUUCACGUCCGAUUGACAGACUUGCUGGACUCGGCUUGGGGCUGCGCCCUCGCCUCUUCCCUCUCCCUCCUCUGGGAGAACCGCACAGGGUGGGGAAAGCGGCGGUUGUUUGCAUUUUGCACCAGGGUCGCACGACCGGGAGGAGGAGGAGCUGAUUCUCCACCGGGGAGAAGAGGGAGGGGGAAGAGAGGGGUUAAUAAGCUUCCUUCCUGUUGUCCAUGGGUUUCUAAAGCCCAGGGUCAGGCCAGUGUUCGUCUUUCCUCCGUGAGGACCUACCCUGAGAUUUGCAACUAUCUUAGUCUUCUUUUCUCUUAGAUUAUGUGAGGAAGGAGGAGUUGAAAGGCUACAACGGGCCUCUCAAAUUGUUCAAACCUGAAAUAGCGCUAUUUAUAUAGUGUAAUCACUCUUCCUUAAAACCUUUAGAAGAAAGUUCUCUGGUUGUUUCAUUGGUCAAUAAACCAUGCGCUGUCUUCUUCAUAA